UACAUAAAUUUCUACCUUGUUCGUGACGUAUUUUAGGCACAAGCCCGUGCUGUACCAGGACCUAAAGCGACGCCAGUUCUUUCGUUAAUUCAAACUGGUUAAUGGCCUUUCUCGAUCUGAUACAUUUACUAUGUAUCACCUUUGGCUCAACCACAUACUGCGCAGAUGCUCACACACAUACACUUAUAGAUAAAAUUCCGAUGUAAAUGUGGAAACAUAAUAAUACCCAAGGUGGUAUAGUCGAUGAAUAAAUUUUUUUUUUUCAA